rnacentral:rRNA from 1 species
GGGACACGUGGUAUCCUGUCUGAAUAUGGGGGGACCAUCCUCCAAGGCUAAAUACUCCUGACUGACCGAUAGUGAACCAGUACCGUGAGGGAAAGGCGAAAAGAACCCCGGCGAGGGGAGUGAAAAAGAACCUGAAACCGUGUACGUACAAGCAGUGGGAGCCUCUUAAUGGGGUGACUGCGUACCUUUUGUAUAAUGGGUCAGCGACUUAUAUUCUGUAGCAAGGUUAACCGAAUAGGGGAGCCGAAGGGAAACCGAGUCUUAACUGGGCGUUAAGUUGCAGGGUAUAGACCCGAAACCCGGUGAUCUAGCCAUGGGCAGGUUGAAGGUUGGGUAACACUAACUGGAGGACCGAACCGACUAAUGUUGAAAAAUUAGCGGAUGACUUGUGGCUGGGGGUGAAAGGCCAAUCAAACCGGGAGAUAGCUGGUUCUCCCCGAAAGCUAUUUAGGUAGCGCCUCGUGAAUUCAUCUCCGGGGGUAGAGCACUGUUUCGGCAAGGGGGUCAUCCCGACUUACCAACCCGAUGCAAACUGCGAAUACCGGAGAAUGUUAUCACGGGAGACACACGGCGGGUGCUAACGUCCGUCGUGAAGAGGGAAACAACCCAGACCGCCAGCUAAGGUCCCAAAGUCAUGGUUAAGUGGGAAACGAUGUGGGAAGGCCCAGACAGCCAGGAUGUUGGCUUAGAAGCAGCCAUCAUUUAAAGAAAGCGUAAUAGCUCACUGGUCGAGUCGGCCUGCGCGGAAGAUGUAACGGGGCUAAACCAUGCACCGAAGCUGCGGCAGCGACACUAUGUGUUG